rnacentral:rRNA from 1 species
UACGAAGGGGGCUAGCGUUGCUCGGAAUUACUGGGCGUAAAGGGCGCGUAGGCGGACAGUUUAGUCAGAGGUGAAAGCCCAGGGCUCAACUGGGGAACUGCACAGGAAACUAGCGGGCUUGAGUUCGGGAGAGGGAAGCGGAAUUCCGGGUGUAGCGGUGAAAUGCGUAGAUAUCCGGAGGAACACCGGUGGCGAAGGCGGCUUCCUGGACCGACACUGACGCUGAGGCGCGAAAGCUAGGGGAGCAAACGGG